rnacentral:rRNA from 1 species
GAUGAACGCUGGCGGCGUGCCUAAUACAUGCAAGUCGAGCGAACAGACGAGGAGCUUGCUCCUCUAACGUUAGCGGCGGACGGGUGAGUAACACGUGGAUAACCUACCUAUAAGACUGGGAUAACUUCGGGAAACCGGAGCUAAUACCGGAUAAUAUAUUGAACCGCAUGGUUCAAUAGUGAAAGACGGUUUUGCUGUCACUUAUAGAUGGAUCCGCGCCGCAUUAGCUAGUUGGUAAGGUAACAGCUUACCAAGGCAACGAUGCGUAGCCGACCUGAGAGGGUGAUCGGCCACACUGGAACUGAGACACGGUCCAGACGCCUACGGGAGGCAGCAGUAGGGAAUCUUCCGCAAUGGGCGAAAGCCUGACGGAGCAACGCCGCGUGAGUGAUGAAGGUCUUCGGAUCGUAAAACUCUGUUAUUAGGGAAGAACAAAUGUGUAAGUAACUAUGCACGUCUUGACGGUACCUAAUCAGAAAGCCACGGCUAACUACGUG